GUUAACAUAGUUUAGCUCCUGGUUUCUGCUGGGUAUUUUUGACCUGUUUGCAGUGGCCAAGAGGCUUACUCCAGUGUUCCUUUGAAUUCCUUGAUAACCAAAGCAAGAUGUGUGCACCACAGUUGGAAGAGGAGCACAUCCCCAGUGCUGUGUUACUGCUCUAGUGGGCUGAAUGCAGAGGGGAGGAGGCUGCCCUGGUGAACUGCUGCCUUAUCUCUCAUUCUCCAAAUCUGCUGUCCAUUUUGCUGGUCAAACCAGAUAUUGAAAACUCCAAGCUACUCUCCCCUCCAAAACAGCCCAGAUGUUCCACUUGGACUAAGAACUACAAAUCUGCCUCUCUCUGGCUUGUUUACUUGACUCCCCUCAUUAAUGUCUUGAUCUUUCUCAAGAUGGUUGUGUGGCUCUGGAGCCACAGCUGCCUUGUAAGUACAACUCCUCACGCACUGACUAUGUCACAUAACCACCAAUGGGGGUCUGUGGGGCUCUGGGGGCUUCUCUGUGACUUCAGAUCUCUCUGAAAGUCAGCCAGGAGGGGGCUAAGCCUGCUAUUCACAGCAUGUUCAACCUGGUGCCAACACACGUGAGAGCAGUGAGACCCCUGUGGAACUGCUAUCCUUGCCUCUCUGAGAUAUUCCCAGCCUUGCAGAAUGUGUCUUGUGGGUGUUGGCUGUGCAAGAUUUUCAGUAUGCAAAGGAGGGUUGGCCACUUCUCCUCCAGCUGUUCCUGAAGUGUUCUGUGUCAAUGGUAACCCUUCAUACAAUAUCAGAAACAGCAGCUACAGAUGGAAAAUCACCAAAGUGCAAGUUGUGCUGACAUGCCCAACGCCUGACAUCAGAUUCUUCGGAAAGGAUCCUGAGGAAUCUGCGAACUGUGGCACAUGAUGGAUUAUUUCUGGUUUGGCCUGUCUCUUCUAUGCAGCUUAUUUCUGUCAGUCUCUGCUCCUCUUGACAGCUGGAGGGUUGUGGAAAUGCAACUUGUCUCUCGCUGCCUUUACUAUUCCAGCUCUGCUAACAGGCUGGCGUAAGUCUGAGUGUGACACAUACGAAUGGGGAUCAUAUGUCCUGAGGUAACAAAGUCCUGCAGUACAGUCUGCUCUGUUCUUUCCAGCAAGGAUGCAAAAAAUAAACACGCCUAUUUGCUGGAAGCAAAAGACAUGCUAACACUCCAGUCCUUGUGUCCCUUCACAGUUUGUAAGCAAUUAGACACCAAAAAAACCAGCAUACAGGUUACAGAGAAAAGGCAGAUUUAAAGUGCAUUGCUAUCUUCUGGUCCCUGCCAAUAAAACCUUCAAGCUGCACCCAGGCCUUUCUAGCUCAUGGGGGGCAUGUUCCGAGCUCUCCCACCCCAGUUCUUUCCCCGACCUUGUUGCAGUCAGAUGUUAGCAGUCUGCCUGGGCAGCAUUGGGCAUGGCUUGCAAAUUGUGGAGCCCAAUGUCCCCUGCCUGGCAAGCCCUCUGCAAGGCUCUGAGCACUGAGCAAGUGUGGGGUGAGACACAGGGAAAGUUUUUGUUCUGUGUAAGCACAAGCUUAGGGCCCAGCCUGUCAAAGACUAAAUGCUCCCAGCUCCUCAAUGCUGCCACUGGGGUUCAGGAUAUUCAGUACCUGGUGCAGAGAGUGGCUCUCUCAGAUAUAACAGGAAUGGUUUUUAUUCCAGACUCGAGCGAUCCUACUUUAGUGUGGGAGGCUUAGGAUUAGGCAGCUUCUUUUGUUCCAGCCUGUUUUCAAAAGACUCAAAGAACAAUACUACAAGUCUGUGAAGUUCUUGAUAGUUCAGCUUUCACCCUCUAAGACUGUCUAACAGCAGGAAUAAUCUGUCCAAAUAUUACCCUGAAGCAAAGGUUUAAAAGGAAUUAGAGAACAAGCAAUGUUGCCAGAUGAUCCCACAUCUGUAGUGGGUCUAAACCCAGAUCUGAAGUCAAGUUAGCAGUGGCAUCUUCAUUCCAGAUCCACGUUUUCUUUUAGAGUCAUAUGUUUAUAUAGCCUAAGUAUGGUGGUGGAUGGAUGCACAAAAGGUUACCAAGUAACUGUUUUAUGUAGUUAAUGUUGGUGUCAACAUUAAAUGGUCAGUCCCUUUUAAUAACAUUGAAUUUUCAUUUCACUCUGCCUAGAAAUUUACCCCACAGCCUAGGGCUCAGCGAAGGGGUCAACCUAUCUUUGAGUUCAUUCUCUAUAGAACAAUGCUUUUCUAGCAGAGAUCCCAGGAAAAUAAUGGCACUUGUGGGAAGGGUGAUCUCACCCCAAGGUUUGUUUGAAUCCCUUUCAUACAGGUAGAAGGAGAGGUGCUUACUGCAGAGACCAGUCUUUUCUGGGCACUGGGGCCAAAUUUUUUCUGUCAGCAAAUACACUCUCAUAGCACAUGACACCUUCUAGGUAUGCAAAGGGGGCAAGAUGAGCCAGAAGCUCCUGCAAGAGUUCCAAAAAAAGAAUGAAACUCCUGUACUGCUUGUUCAUGGCCUCCCUGGUGUCAGCACAAGGGAAAUUUAGGGCCAUUCCCCUGCCAUCUUACUUCACAUGGGUACCUGGCAAAGAAUGUCUGAUGCAAAAAAUAAACCAUGACAAAUGCUGUCUGUUUCCAUUACUGUAUGGGGAAUGACUGGAUUAUGUAAGCGUGAAAUCACCACAGGGAUCAAAAAUAAAUAUUGCCCUAUUGUAGAAUGUACUGGUGGCAUAGCUGAUAUUUUUGUGGCUGAUGAAAAAUCAAAGCUCAUUAUCACUCCUGAGGUUUGCCCUCUCUGUGUGUGUUGGUGUGUGUCUGUCUAUUUCUGUGUAUUAAAGACUCUGGGUCAA